GAGUUUGAUCCUGGCUCAGGAUGAACGCUGGCGGCGUGCCUAACACAUGCAAGUCGAGCGGAGCAACCUUGAUGAAGUUUUCGGAUGGAAUCAGGAUUGACUUAGCGGCGGACGGGUGAGUAACACGUGGAUAACCUGCCUUAUACUGGGGGAUAACAGCCAGAAAUGACUGCUAAUACCGCAUAAGCGCACGGCGCCGCAUGGCGCAGUGUGAAAAACUCCGGUGGUAUAAGAUGGAUCCGCGCCUGAUUAGCUAGUUGGCGGGGCAGCGGCCCACCAAGGCGACGAUCAGUAGCCGGCCUGAGAGGGCGACCGGCCACAUUGGGACUGAGACACGGCCCAAACUCCUACGGGAGGCAGCAGUGGGGAAUAUUGCACAAUGGGGGGAACCCUGAUGCAGCGACGCCGCGUGAGUGAAGAAGUAUUUCGGUAUGUAAAGCUCUAUCAGCAGGGAAGAAGAUGACGGUACCUGACUAAGAAGCCCCGGCUAACUACGUGCCAGCAGCCGCGGUAAUACGUAGGGGGCAAGCGUUAUCCGGAUUUACUGGGUGUAAAGGGAGCGUAGACGGCAGGGCAAGUCUGGAGUGAAAGCCCGGGGCCCAACCCCGGGACUGCUUUGGAAACUGCCAUGCUAGAGUGCUGGAGAGGUAAGCGGAAUUCCUAGUGUAGCGGUGAAAUGCGUAG
rnacentral:rRNA from 1 species